CCCCCUCCCUCUCUCUCUCUCUCUCUCUCUCUCUCUCUCUCUCUCUCUCUCUCUCUCUCUCUCUAGCUCUCUCUCUCAACUGUAGCACACCCAGAUGAGAUCUCACUCACUCACUGAGACAAAAGUUGCAGAGGAAUUUAAUAGAUUGCAUAAUUAUAAACACAUCUCUCUCUCUCUCUCUCUCUCUCUCUCUCUCUCUCUGAGGAGGCUCUGAGACUCUCUGAGCAAGUGAAGGGAAAAUCUCAAAUCUCUAGCACAAGCUGCUGAGCUCACUUGUUUAAAGAUGGUUAAAAUUGCAUAGAUAACCCCUAAACUAUUGGACCUUCUCAAAUAGGUCUCUGUACUUUUUUUUUUCUUAUUGGCAUUUUCUUAUUUUUGUUUGCUUCGAUAUGAUUUUAUUAGGUUAUUUAGCGAGGACAUUACAUUUCAUAGCUUCAAGGACAAGAAAAGAGAGUAAAUUUCAGUAAUAACUUAAAAAAAAUUUACUUAAUUCUUUUUAAAAAAUUAAUAAAAUAAAUAAUAAAUAAAAAGUGUCAAUAAAUACCAAAAAUAAAGCACUUCUACAUACUUAUAGAAGAAUUUAAUUAGUUCAUGUACUUAAUCUAAGGUGAGAUAUGCACUUACCAUCACAUCAAUAAUUAUACUGACACAAUUUUCAAAAGGAUUAAUUUCUCACAAUUCCUUGUAAAUAUAUGAGGUGGCCAAUAAAUUUCAACAAAAUUUAAUUUUUCAUAUUUGUCCGUACAAAAGCCCAGUGAUAUUUAUAUUUACUUUCCUGAUUUGUUACCGUUAGAGUAUUAUUUAUGUUUUAACAAAAAAUAAGUAAAAUAAUAUUUUUGAUAUCACAAAUAUGUCUCUCAAAAUUUUUCAACUUUUGAAUUAUGCACAAAUGUCCUCCCAAAAAUAUCCAACGAUCAUUUCGUCCUUUCUACAAUUAAAAUAAUAUAAGAGGGGUAAAAAAGAUCAAUUUAUUUUUUACUAAUCAGAAUUAAUUAUUUUACCUAUUUUUCUAUCAGGUCCUACCAAUAAAAGUAUAUUUGAAAACGUUAGAAUUUUUAUAAGAAUAAAUAUGCAAUAUUAAAAUUUGUAGAAAAAUAUUUGGUAAUUCGAUAUAUUUACAGAAAACUGUAUGCAAUUAACUUUUUUUUGCAAAAAAAUAC
rnacentral:lncRNA from 1 species